UUUCGAAUCAUUCACAAUGGGCGAAAGCCUGAUGGUGCGACGCCGCGUGAGGGAUGAAGGUCUUCGGAUUGUAAACCUCUGUCACUGGGGAAGAAACGUCAAAACCUAAUACGUUUUGGCCUGACUUAACCCGGAGAGGAAGCAGUGGCUAACUCUGUGCCAGCAGCCGCGGUAAUACAGAGACUGCAAGCGUUAUUCGGAUUCACUGGGCGUAAAGGGUGCGCAGGUGGCCAAGUGUGUCAGGUGUGAAAUCCCGGGGCUUAACUCCGGAACUGCGCCUGAAACUGCUUGGCUAGAGCAUUGGAGAGGGUAGUGGAAUUCACGGUGUAGCAGUGAAAUGCGUAGAUAUCGUGAGGAACACCAGAGGCGAAGGCGACUACCUGGACAAUUGCUGACACUCAGGCACGAAAGCGUGGGGAGCCAAAGGG
rnacentral:rRNA from 1 species